UACAGAGGGUGCAAGCGUUGUUCGGAAUUAUUGGGCGUAAAGGGCGCGUAGGCGGUGCGGUAAGUCUGCAGUGAAAUCUCUGGGCUCAACUCAGAGUCUGCUGUAGAAACUGCCGUGCUUGAGUGUGGGAGAGGUGAGUGGAAUUCCCGGUGUAGCGGUGAAAUGCGUAGAGAUCGGGAGGAACAUCUGUGGCGAAGGCGGCCACCUGGACCAGCACUGACACUGAGGCACGAAAGCGUGGGGAGCAAACAGG
rnacentral:rRNA from 1 species